AAAAGGUGGCUAUGCUACCGCUUUUGGAUGGGCCCGCGGCGCAUUAGCUAGUUGGUGGGGUAAAGGCUUACCAAGGCAAUGAUGCGUAGCCGAACUGAGAGGUUGAUCGGCCACAUUGGGACUGAGACACGGCCCAAACUCCUACGGGGGGCAGCAGUAGGGAAUCUUCCACAAUGGGCGAAAGCCUGAUGGAGCAACGCCGCGUGGGUGAAGAAGGUCUUCGGAUCGUAAAACCCUGUUGUUAGAGAAGAAAGUGCGUGAGAGUAACUGUUCACGUUUCGACGGUAUCUAACCAGAAAGCCACGGCUAACUACGUGCCAGCAGCCGCGGUAAUACGUAGGUGGCAAGCGUUAUCCGGAUUUAUUGGGCGUAAAGGGAACGCAGGCGGUCUUUUAAGUCUGAUGUGAAAGCCUUCGGCUUAACCGGAGUAGUGCAUUGGAAACUGGGAGACUUGAGUGCAGAAGAGGAGAGUGGAACUCCAUGUGUAGCGGUGAAAUGCGUAGAUAUAUGGAAGAACACCAGUGGCGAAAGCGGCUCUCUGGUCUGUAACUGACGCUGAGGUUCGAAAGCGUGGGUAGCAAACAGGAUUAGAUACCCUGGUAGUCCACGCCGUAAACGAUGAAUGCUAAGUGUUGGAGGGUU
rnacentral:rRNA from 1 species